rnacentral:rRNA from 1 species
GAUGAACGCUAGCGGCAGGCCUAAUACAUGCAAGUCGAACGGUGUAGCAAUACAUAGUGGCGCACGGGUGCGUAACACGCAUGCAACCUACCUUAUACUGGGGGAUAGCCUUUGGAAACGGAGAUUAAUACCCCAUGGGAUAAUUAGAUGGCAUCAUUUAAUUAUUAAAGAUUUAUUGGUAUAAGCUGGGCAUGCGUCCAAUUAGUUAGUUGGUGGGGUAACGGCUCACCAAGGCGAUGAUUGGUAGGGGAACUGAGAGGUUAAUCCCCCACACUGGCACUGAGAUACGGGCCAGACUCCUACGGGAGGCAGCAGUGGGGAAUUUUCCGCAAUGGGCGAAAGCCUGACGGAGCAAUCUCGCGUGAGGGAUGACGGCCUAUGGGUUGUAAACCUCUUCUUUCAGGGAGGAAUAAAUGACGUGUACCUGAAGAAUAAGCAUCGGCUAACUCCGUGCCAGCAGCCGCGGUAAAU